rnacentral:lncRNA from 1 species
GCAACUAAGAGUAGAUAGGAUGUAUGAAUGAAUAUGAUAUGCUAAUUUUCGGCUUGUAGGUCAGUAACCAAUAGCGAGGCUUCCUCCUAUCUUCUACUAGCUAUAUGAGGAAUCUGAUGUUCGCGGAAAGAGGUCGAUCUGUCGUUCGCAGUCAAAGAUGUGGAACCACGGCCGCUCAGGCGCUCGCUCGCUCGCGGACACUCCGACACUCGCUCGCGGCCACUCCGGUGCUCGCUCUUCUGUCAGACGCUCGCAGAGAACCCAAGGUGUUCGUUCGCUGUUUGUCCUAGAGAACCCAUGACGCUUGCUUCGCUCAAAGUAAGACGAUGCUCUCUCCUCUGUCAGACGAACCGCACACGGAAAACCCAAAAACGCUAGCACGCGGAGAACCCAAAACGCCGCACGCGGAGGACCCACAAGAUUUCUUCGCUCGCGGAUAGAUUUUCCCUCUCUCGGUCAGACUCCUUCACUUGGCACGUUCGCUGUCGGAAACAUCUCUCGUUUGCUCGCUCGUUCGCUCCUGCGUGAGAGUGAAGAAGACGGAAUAUGAACGACGAUGAGAAAAAUCUCAAGAAGUGGUGG